rnacentral:rRNA from 1 species
AAUAGAUACCCGGGUAGUCCACGCCGUAAACGAUGUCGACUUGGAGGUUGUGCCCUUGAGGCGUGGCUUCCGGAGCUAACGCGUUAAGUCGACCGCCUGGGGAGUACGGCCGCAAGGUUAAAACUCAAAUGAAUUGACGGGGGCCCGCACAAGCGGUGGAGCAUGUGGUUUAAUUCGAUGCAACGCGAAGAGCCUUACCUACUCUUGACAUCCAGAGAACUUAGCAGAGAUGCUUUGGUGCCUUCGGGAACUCUGAGACAGGUGCUGCAUGGCUGUCGUCAGCUCGUGUUGUGAAAUGUUGGGUUAAGUCCCGCAACGAGCGCAACCCUUAUCCUUUGUUGCCAGCGAUUCGGUCGGGAACUCAAAGGAGACUGCCAGUGAUAAACUGGAGGAAGGUGGGGAUGACGUCAAGUCAUCAUGGCCCUUACGAGUAGGGCUACACACGUGCUACAAUGGCAUAUACAAAGAGAAGCGACCUCGCGAGAGCAAGCGGACCUCAUAAAGUAUGUCGUAGUCCGGAUUGG